GACGAACGCUGGCGGCGUGCUUAACACAUGCAAGUCGAACGGAAAGGCCCUGCUUUUGUGGGGUGCUCGAGUGGCGAACGGGUGAGUAAUGCAUCGGAACGUGCCCAGUAGUGGGGGAUAGCCCGGCGAAAGCCGGAUUAAUACCGCAUACGACCUGAGGGUGAAAGCGGGGGACCGAAAGGCCUCGCGCUAUUGGAGCGGCCGAUGUCGGAUUAGCUAGUUGGUGGGGUAAAGGCUUACCAAGGCGACGAUCCGUAGCUGGUCUGAGAGGACGACCAGCCACACUGGGACUGAGACACGGCCCAGACUCCUACGGGAGGCAGCAGUGGGGAAUUUUGGACAAUGGGGGCAACCCUGAUCCAGCCAUGCCGCGUGCGGGAAGAAGGCCUUCGGGUUGUAAACCGCUUUUGUUCGGGAAGAAAUCCUCUGGGCUAAUACCCCGGGGGGAUGACGGUACCGGAAGAAUAAGCACCGGCUAACUACGUG
rnacentral:rRNA from 1 species